AGGUUGUGCCCUUGAGGCGUGGCUUCCGGAGCUAACGCGUUAAGUCGACCGCCUGGGGAGUACGGCCGCAAGGUUAAAACUCAAAUGAAUUGACGGGGGCCCGCACAAGCGGUGGAGCAUGUGGUUUAAUUCGAUGCAACGCGAAGAACCUUACCUGGUCUUGACAUCCACGGAAGUUUUCAGAGAUGAGAAUGUGCCUUCGGGAACCGUGAGACAGGUGCUGCAUGGCUGUCGUCAGCUCGUGUUGUGAAAUGUUGGGUUAAGUCCCGCAACGAGCGCAACCCUUAUCCUUUGUUGCCAGCGGUCGGCCGGGAACUCAAAGGAGACUGCCAGUGAUAAACUGGAGGAAGGUGGGGAUGACGUCAAGUCAUCAUGGCCCUUACGACCAGGGCUACACACGUGCU
rnacentral:rRNA from 1 species